GACGAACGCUGGCGGCGUGCCUAAUACAUGCAAGUAGAACGCUGAAGAAAGGAGCUUGCUUCUUUUGGAUGAGUUGCGAACGGGUGAGUAACGCGUAGGUAACCUGCCUUGUAGCGGGGGAUAACUAUUGGAAACGAUAGCUAAUACCGCAUAACAGCUUUUGACACAUGUUAGAAGCUUGAAAGAUGCAAUUGCAUCACUACGAGAUGGACCUGCGUUGUAUUAGCUAGUAGGUAGGGUAACGGCCUACCUAGGCGACGAUACAUAGCCGACCUGAGAGGGUGAUCGGCCACACUGGGACUGAGACACGGCCCAGACUCCUACGGGAGGCAGCAGUAGGGAAUCUUCGGCAAUGGGGGCAACCCUGACCGAGCAACGCCGCGUGAGUGAAGAAGGUUUUCGGAUCGUAAAGCUCUGUUGUAAGAGAAGAACGUGUGUGAGAGUGGAAAGUUCACACAGUGACGGUAACUUACCAGAAAGG
rnacentral:rRNA from 1 species